UCGGACUACUUUCCUGAAAAUAGGAGUUUUCAUUCACCGAAGUUUUGGAUAGAGAUCCACGAGUGGCAUUGCCAUGGAUGGGGAAGAGGAUUCCAGCCAAGAGUUCCGCUCCUGUUGCAUAGAGCAGGAACGCUUUCCUGAGGAUUUCUCCUGCAUCCAAGAAAACUUCAAUUCCUUGUAAAAGAUGCAGACUAGCUUGAUUUAAAACAAGAUAGUCUCGCAGUACCCAGAAUGUGAUUUAUCAUCUAAGUUGUUUUACUGCUGGAAGAACUUUUGGUACCCUGAAUCUCAACCAGUGUCUUGUUGCUUAUUGUGUUUUGAGUAAUCUCUUUAGACAUGAGAUUAACGCUUACAGGUUCCUGGAGACACACUUCUGUAGUUCAUCCAUAAAAGAAACCCAUCAUUUUUUACCUCAGCCAUGUUGCCAUGGCAACUUUCGCAAAUGAUAACGAACUGGCAGUCUCGCCCACCACCUCUAAUACUACUACUGACGUCAUCAGGACAUCUAUGGCCCCUUCGGCGGUGGCUCCUCCUUUUUACAGAAUACCUGCUACGACUCUAUCUCCCGGGCAUGCUGCGAUUUUGGAAAUGCACGCCAACAGCCAAUCGAAUGCAAUCAUAUAUGUCGUGGUAGUUCUGGCUUUGUACAUACUGGGCAUGAGUAUCGUCGUUAUCAAGUAUGUUCGCACGGAACGGUACGAGGCAAGACUUACCCGACUUUUCCAUGAUCUAGUAAGGAGGGACAGAUUCUUUCGGCUGUCCAGAAGACGGUCUUCCUUACCUAAAUGUGGUCUAACGAUAGCUGCUAACAUCGUUGAAGAUGACUUACCUUUAUCACCGAUUGUGCCGGUUCCAGACGUCAGUGAACCGGUUGAUAUAGAAAGUAACCUCUGACAUGGGGAAGCCGUCUUGGAAGCAAGAUUUGAUUCGGAGAAUUGCCAGUGAGCUUCAAGAAAAUAUAAUCGAUAUCCUUCGAACAAAUAACUUUUGACAGAACAUGCUUUAUUUUCGACGUAUCACUCGUGCGGACGAGUUUUAAACAACUAUAUUUAUACAUGAGAUUGUGUACCUAAAUGCCGGUAUGUUUUAAAUGUAGCAGACUACGUUGUUUCAAUUGAUACAAAACUAAAUCAAAUGAGCAGUCCUGAUUCAUAAAAAUAUCCCGAAAUGGCGAUAUCAAGAAAAGGUGUAGUGAUUAUGUUUCCUGAAAACUGUUUC